GACGAACGCUGGCGGCGUGCUUAACACAUGCAAGUCGAACGGAAAGGCCCUGCUUUUGUGGGGUGCUCGAGUGGCGAACGGGUGAGUAACACGUGAGUAACCUGCCCUUGACUUUGGGAUAACUUCAGGAAACUGGGGCUAAUACCGGAUAGGAGCUCCUGCUGCAUGGUGGGGGUUGGAAAGUUUCGGCGGUUGGGGAUGGACUCGCGGCUUAUCAGCUUUUUGGUGGGGUAGUGGCUUACCAAGGCUUUGACGGGUAGCCGGCCUGAGAGGGUGACCGGCCACAUUGGGACUGAGAUACGGCCCAGACUCCUACGGGAGGCAGCAGUGGGGAAUAUUGCAAAAUGGGCGGAAGCCUGAUGCAGCAACGCCGCGUGCGGGAUGACGGCCUUCGGGUUGUAAACCGCUUUCGCCUGUGACGAAGCGUGAGUGACGGUAAUGGGUAAAGAAGCACCGGCUAACUACGUG
rnacentral:rRNA from 1 species